rnacentral:rRNA from 1 species
AGCAGCCGCGGUAAUUCCAGCUCCAAUAGCGUAUAUUAAAGUUGUUGCAGUUAAAAAGCUCGUAGUUGAAUUUCGGGGUUAGUAGGUUGGUCAUGCCUCUGGUAUGUACUAAUCUCACUGAUUCCUCCCUCUUGACGAACUGUAAUGUCAUUAAUUUGGUGUUGCAGGAAAUCAGGACUGUUACUUUGAAAAAUUAGAGUGUUUAAAGCAGGCUUAGGCUUGAAUACAUUAGCAUGGAAUAAUGAAAUAGGACGUUUGAACCUAUUUUGUUGGUUUCUAGGAUCGACGUAAUGAUUAAUAGGGAUAGUUGGGGGCAUUAGUAUUCAAUUGUCAGAGGUGAAAUUCUUGGAUUUAUUGAAGACUAACUACUGCGAAAGCAUUUGCCAAGGAUGUUUUCAUUAAUCAAGAACGAAAGUUAGGGGAUCGAAGACGAUCAGAUACCGUCGUAGUCUUAACCAUAAACUAUGCCGACUAGGGAUCGGAUGAUGUUAAUUUUUUAAUGACUCAUUCGGCGCCUUAC